rnacentral:rRNA from 1 species
GACGAACGCUGGCGGCGUGCUUAACACAUGCAAGUCGAACGGUAAGGCCCUUCGGGGUACACGAGUGGCGAACGGGUGAGUAACACGUGGGUGAUCUGCCCUGCACUUCGGGAUAAGCCUGGGAAACUGGGUCUAAUACCGGAGAGGACCACGCCCUUCACGGUGUGUGGUGGAAAGCUUUUGCGGUGUGGGAUGGGCCCGCGGCCUAUCAGCUUGUUGGUGGGGUAAUGGCCUACCAAGGCGACGACGGGUAGCCGGCCUGAGAGGGUGACCGGCCACACUGGGACUGGGAUACGGCCCAGACUCCUACGGGAGGCAGCAGUGGGAAAUAUUGCACAAUGGGCGCAAGCCUGAUGCAGCGACGCCGCGUGAGGGAUGACGGCCUUCGGGUUGUAAACCUCUUUCAGUAGGGACGAAGCGCAAGUGACGGUACCUACAGAGGAAGGACCGGCCAACUACGUGCCAGCCGCCGCGGUAA